GUGGUUGUGGCUCAGUGGUAGAGCACUUGCCUAGCACUGAGUUCAAUCCUCAGCACCACA
rnacentral:tRNA from 1 species